GACGAACGCUGGCGGUGUGCCUAAUACAUGCAAGUAGAACGCUGAAGGAGGAGCUUGCUUCUCUGGAUGAGUUGCGAACGGGUGAGUAACGCGUAGGUAACCUGCCUGGUAGCGGGGGAUAACUAUUGGAAACGAUAGCUAAUACCGCAUAAGAGUAGAUGUUGCAUGACAUUUGCUUAAAAGGUGCAAUUGCAUCACUACCAGAUGGACCUGCGUUGUAUUAGCUAGUUGGUGGGGUAACGGCUUACCAAGGCGACGGUACAUAGCCGACCUGAGAGGGUGAUCGGCCAACCUGGGACUGAGACAAGGCCCAGACUCCUACGGGAGGCAGCAGUAGGGAAUCUUCGGCAAUGGACGGAAGUCUGACCGCGCAACGCCGCGGGAGUGAAGAAGGUUUUCGGAUCGUAAAGCUCGGUUGUAAGAGAAGAAAGAGUGUGAGAGUGGAAAGUUCACACUGUGACGGUAGCUUAACAGAAAGGGACGGCUAACUACGUG
rnacentral:rRNA from 1 species